rnacentral:rRNA from 1 species
UGAGGAAUAUUGGUCAAUGGGCGGAAGCCUGAACCAGCCAUGCCGCGUGAAGGAUGACGGCCUUAUGGGUUGUAAACUUCUUUUGUGGUAGAACAAUAAUGGGCACGUGUGCUCAGAUGAGAGUAUAUCACGAAUAAGCAACGGCUAACUCCGUGCCAGCAGCCGCGGUAAUACGGAGGUUGCGAGCGUUAUCCGGAUUUAUUGGGUUUAAAGGGUGCGUAGGCGGUUUGAUAAGUCAGUGGUGAAAGUUUGCAGCUUAACUGUAAAAUUGCCAUUGAUACUGUCAGACUUGAGUACAGAUGAGGUAGGCGGAAUGUGUGGUGUAGCGGUGAAAUGCUUAGAUAUCACACAGAACACCGAUUGCGAAGGCAGCUUACUAAACUGACACUGACGCUGAGGCACGAAAGUGUGGGGAUCAAACAGG